GGCUAUUGACUUCUUUCCAAAUAUACUGGUUCCUUUAGACAAUUAUAUAUCCAAGAGUACUGCUCACUUCCUCACUUGCAAGGAUCCGGACUACCAACAAAGCCUUUGGAAUAUGAUAUCUUCUGUUAUGGGAGAUAAAAAUUUGGAGGAUGGUGACAUUGAGUCCGCACCUAAGCUUAUUCAAGUUGUAUUCGAGCAUUGCAAGGGACAGGUGGAUCAUUGGGUUGAGCCGUACAUUAGAUUGACAGUUGAACGUCUCCGUCGAGCUGAAAAAUCACAUCUGAAGUGUCUCUUGGUCCAAGUGAUAGCUGAUGCUCUUUACUACAAUGCACCCUUGACAUGGAACAUCCUUCAAAAGCUUGGCCUUGCUCUAGAGGUGUUUAAUCUCUGGUUUCUGAUGUUGGGACAAACAAAAAAGAGCGGAAAACGGGUUAACUUCAAAAGGGAACAUGACAAAAAGGUUUGCUGCUUGGGCUUGACAUCUUUGCUCCCUCUUCCUGUGGAUCAAUUCCCAAGGGAAGCCUUAGAUCGUGUUUUCAAAGCAACUCUAGAUCUGCUUAUUGCCUACAAAGAUCAAGUAGCAGAAGCGGCUAAGGAGGAUGAGGCAGAAGACGAUGAUGAUAUGAAUGGCUUGCAAACUGAUGAGGAUGACGAUGAAGAUGACGAGUCUGACAAGGAAAUGGGGGAUGAUGCUGAGGAAGGGGAUGAAGCUGACAGUACUAGGCUUCAAAAAUUGGCUGCACAGGCA
rnacentral:misc_RNA from 1 species